rnacentral:rRNA from 1 species
CACGUAGGCGGCUUGGCAAGUCAGGGGUGCAAGCUCUAGGCUUAACCUAGAAAUUGCCUCUGAAACUACCUCGCUUGAGGGUCAGAGGGGAAACUGGAAUUCACGGUGUAGCGGUGAAAUGCGUAGAUAUCGUGGAGAACACCCGUGGCGAAGGCGGGUUUCUGGCUGACAACUGACGCUGAGGUGCGAAAGCUAGGGGAGCGAACGGGAUUAGAUACCCCGGUAGUCCUAGCCGUAAACGAUGAGUACUAGGUGUGGGGGUUAACACUUCCGUGCCGACGCUAACGCAUUAAGUACUCCGCCUGGGGACUACGGCCGCAAGGUUAAA